AGCAGCCGCGGUAAUUCCAGCUCCAAUAGCGUAUAUUAAAGUUGUUGUGGUUAAAAAGCUCGUAGUUGAACCUUGGGCCUGGCUGGCCGGUCCGCCUCACCGCGUGUACUGGUCCGGCCGGGCCUUUCCCUCUGUGGAACCCCAUGCCCUUCACUGGGUGUGGCGGGGAAACAGGACUUUUACUGUGAAAAAUUAGAGUGCUCCAGGCAGGCCUAUGCUCGAAUACAUUAGCAUGGAGUAAUAGAAUAGGACGUGUGGUUCUAUUUUGUUGGUUUCUAGGACCGCCGUAAUGAUUAAUAGGGACAGUCGGGGGCAUCAGUAUUCAAUUGUCAGAGGUGAAAUUCUUGGAUUUAUUGAAGACUAACUACUGCGAAAGCAUUUGCCAAGGAUGUUUUCAUUAAUCAGGAACGAAAGUUAGGGGAUCGAAGACGAUCAGAUACCGUCGUAGUCUUAGCCAUAAACUAUGCCGACUAGGGAUCGGACGGUGUUAU
rnacentral:sRNA from 1 species